GUAUUUUAACUGUGCUAAGGUAGCAUAAUCAUUUGUCUUUUAAUUGAGGGCUGGAAUGAAGGGUUGGACGAGGUAUUAGCUUUCUUUAAUUUAAUUUGAGGAAUUUAAUUUUUGAGUUAAAAAGCUUAAAUUUAUUUAUGGGACGAGAAGACCCUAUAGAUCUUUAUAGUUUUAUAUUUUAGUAAUUUGGGGAUUUAUGUAUUUUAAGUAAAUGAACUAUUUUGUUGGGGUGACUGUAGAAUUUUAAUAACUUCUAUUUUGUAUUUUCAUUAAUUAAUGUUUUUGUGAUCCAUAAUUUAUGAUUAGAAGAUUAAGUUACCUUAGGGAUAACAGCGUAAUUUCCUCGGAGAGUUCAUAUUGAUGAGGGAGUUUGCGACCUCGAUGUUGGAUUAAAAUAAGUUAU
rnacentral:rRNA from 1 species